rnacentral:lncRNA from 1 species
AGCACGCCGCACACCACCACAACAUCAGGCCGGGAAACGCACAUGAGAGGUCUUGCCUUCAUCCAGCAUUUCCCACCCACCCCCCAGCAAAAUUGCUGCCACUGCCCCUCGUGGUUAGAGCCUCGACUGCCAAACAUUCCGUCCCCAUCCACCAGCACCUUCCUCCUCCCAGCUUACCAGAACUUGAAGAUGAUGCCAGUGGCCACGAGAACAAUGAUGAUGGAGAUGGUAAUUGUGACAUAGAGCUGGGGGUCCACACCUGAUUGGGGUGGGAAGAAAGUUUUAGGGAGCCCCGAGGUGGUAGGAGCCAAGAGGGGCUGGGGGCUGGGCUGUGGGCUCUGUCGGCUGGAGUGGCAUUGCUGUGUGGAUCCACACUGCCGGCUCUGUCUGCCCCUCUGGAGCCUCACUCUUUAUUAUCACCAGCAUUCCCCUGAGUUUUCAGCUCUUUUCCUCCACUUUCCCAAAUGUAUUUCACCAAAUCUUAUGUGUAUAUGUGAUGAGGAUGAGGCCCCAUGAUCAGCGAGAACCUAUCACUAUGCCUGGAAACUAAGGGGUGGAGAUGUCCUAGUCUCUGCCAUGGCCCAACUCCCAAACCACAGGCCCUGUUCCUCCAUCAGCACUCCCUGAGCCAAGACAUCUCCCGGGUAGUGCCCUUCAUUCAUGGCAUUCUCUGCCCAGAAUACUCCCACUCUCUUUUCAAGGGCCAGCUCAAAUGUCAGUUCUCUGAAGGUGUCCUGAUCCCCAAGCAGGAGGAGACUCUCACUUCUCUUUUUUUGUAAAUCAUGCUGCACAUGCCUCUAUUAAAGCAUUU